rnacentral:rRNA from 1 species
AACAGGCUUAUCUCCCCCAAGAGUCCACAUCGACGGGGAGGUUUGGCACCUCGAUGUCGGCUCAUCACAUCCUGGGGCUGUAGUAGGUCCCAAGGGUUGGGCUGUUCGCCCAUUAAAGUGGUACGCGAGCUGGGUUCAGAACGUCGUGGGACAGUUCGGUCCCUAUCCGUCGCAGGCGUAGGAAAUUUGAGAAGACCUGUCCUUAGUACGAGAGGACCGGGAUGGACGUACCUCUGGUGUACCAGUUGU